ensembl:lncRNA
CAUUGUGCUUCCACUCAGUGGUUGGGGUAUAUAUUCUGUGUACCCAGUAAAAACUUUGGCAUUCAUUUUCUUGAAACAGUGGCCCGAGUCUGUGUGUUUCUUUUUAAAUCUUGCAGGCCUGCGCCCGGUUCUCCGUGAAAGACCCCCAGAGAGGACCUUUCCCUCAGGAGGAGUCCCAAGCGCCCAAUGACCGAGCCAAGUCCACUCGGAUGCAAUCAGCAAGAGGGUUUAUUGGAAAACACAGACUAGAGCAGCUUCCCACCUUGGCCAGAGAAUCUUCUUUUUACAGAAGGCAACCAUUCGUGCAGAGACUCAUCUGGCCGAAGUGUGGAGGGGCUGUACUGAUCAUAAGCAAAGAGCAGCCAAGGACACCUGCACAAGACACCUUCAGCAUCCACCAGGGAUGGGGAGCUGUCAUGACACCCAACCCCCUUUGUGAGAGUUGAUGGUUUCCAGUAGAGAGGGCAGCAUUUUCUUCAGUGUUGCAGCCACUGAUAAAUACAGUUGUGGCUAUUGAUUUAAUAUCCCACAAGACUCUGACUGGCUCUGGUUGGGCAGACACUAUAUGGUAAUAAUGAAAAUACCUCAAACUCAAUAUUUUAAACAAAAAAAUGUACUGAGUGCACUGAAAGAGUGUCUCCUGGACUGCUGCCUGCAGCCUAAGGCGAGGACUUGGGUUCGAUUCCCAGCAUCCACGUAUCAUCUCAGAAC